rnacentral:ncRNA from 1 species
UAUCUUCAGGGCAGGGUGAAAGUCCCUACCGGCGGUAUAGCCCGCGAGCAUUUUUGCAGAUUCGGUGAAACUCCGAAGCCGACAGUAAAGUCUGGAUGAAAGAAGGUA